AACGAACGCUGGCGGCAUGCCUAACACAUGCAAGUCGAACGAGACCUUCGGGUCUAGUGGCGCAAGGGGGCGUAACGCGGGGGAAUCUGCCCUUGGGUUCGGAAUAACAGGUGGAAACGACUGCUAAUACCGGAGGGUGACGUAAGUCCAAAGAUUUAUCGCCCCGGGAUGAGCCCGCGUAGGAUUAGCUAGUUGGUGGGGUAAAGGCCUACCAAGGCGACGAUCCUUAGCUGGUCUGAGAGGAUGAUCAGCCACACUGGGACUGAGACACGGCCCAGACUCCUACGGGAGGCAGCAGUGGGGAAUAUUGGACAAUGGGCGAAAGCCUGAUCCAGCAAUGCCGCGUGAGUGAUGAAGGCCUUAGGGUUGUAAAGCUCUUUUACCCGGGAUGAUAAUGACAGUACCGGGAGAAUAAGCCCCGGCUAACUCCGUG
rnacentral:rRNA from 1 species